CUUAAAGGAAUUGACGGAAGGGCACCACCAGGAGUGGAGCCUGCGGCUUAAUUUGACUCAACACGGGAAAACUCACCAGGCCCGGACACCGGAAGGAUUGACAGAUUGAGAGCUCUUUCUUGAUUCGGUGGGUGGUGGUGCAUGGCCGUUCUUAGUUGGUGGAGCGAUUUGUCUGGUUAAUUCCGAUAACGAACGAGACUCUAGCCUGCUAACUAGGCGUACCCGGUAUCCACAAUCGUGCUACCGGCGAGCCAAUUUCUUCUUAGAGGGACAGGCGGCUUCUAGCCGCACGAGACUGAGCAAUAACAGGUCUGUGAUGCCCUUAGAUGUCCUGGGCCGCACGCGCGCUACACUGAAGGAAUCAGCGUGUCUUCCCUGUCCGAAAGGACCGGGUAACCCGCUGAACCUCCUUUGUGCUAGGGAUUGGGGCUUGGAAUUGUUCCCCAUGAACGAGGAAUUCCCAGUAAGCGCGAGUCAUAAGCUCGCGUUGAUUACGUCCCUGCCCUUUGUACACACCGCCCGUCGCUACUACCGAUUGAAUGAUUUAGUGAGGUCUUCGGACCGGUGCGCGGGGCCGCCUCGCGGUCUCCGGUGCCGCUGGAAAGAUGACCGAACUUGAUCAUUU
rnacentral:rRNA from 1 species